GCCAGGCGUGGUGGCGCAUGCCUGUAAUCCCAGCUACUCGGGAGGCUGAGGCAGGAGGAUUGCUUGAACCCAGGAGACGGAGGUUGCCGUGAGCCAAGAUGGUGCCAUUGUACUCCAGCCUGGGCAACAAGAGCAAAACUCCAUCUCAAAAAAAAAGUUGCUCAGGUUGGUCACAAACUCCUGGCCUCAAGCGAUCCUCCGACCUCA
rnacentral:sRNA from 1 species